GUGACAGAUGAUGUUCAUGGUUUGACUUUCUACUCUGUGUUUUUGUGCUCGAGUCGUGUCAAUAUAUAUAUAAUAGAUCAGGAUUCUUCUACACAACAGAUGAUGUGAAUGUUUCUGCACUUCACUCAUUUAUUCAAGUGUCUGCUGAUCUCAGACCUGUACAAACACAAUCUUAUGUAUCACAGACUGUUAAACAUGAGAAAAGCACAUCAAGAUCUCUUCUGGAAGACUGUCUGAGACACGUUCAACUCAACUUUCAGCAUUUACGAUUGAAAAUGAAGCAAAACUUUAAAAAACCUCUCAAAAUCAAAAACUGGACAAAAGAAACUUUUUUACUUUCUAAACCGAAGACAUGCAUGAACCGUUCAAUGUGUGAAUGAACUCACUCACAGACGCUUAUAUAGUAACAGGGCGUAUCAGAGGGGGCGUGGCGUGUUCAAUAAAGUUCAUUUGGGAACUUCCAGUUACGAAACACCUCUCAUCUCUCGUGUCAUCAUGAGCUGUUGAAUAUGCUGCAGAGGGCGGGAACAUCAUUAUAUAAGUGUGUUUGACCACAUGACGUUACAGCUAACUGGGCGUCUACUGGGAGAAUAUUAUUUAUAUGAUUACAGACUGUUGUGGAUAUCUCUACAUGAAUAUUGUAAAUCACUGUUAAACUUGUUUUUAAUAACACGUGUGUGUGGAUAAAUAUUCAAGAGAUGUUGAUUUGAGUGAUUUAUAGUCAUUAAUGCAUGAAACAUGUUCAUUUAUACUGUAUAUAUUUAUUAUCACACUGAUUCAUAUCAAAUGAGCUGACAGUGUUAUUUACUGUAUAAAUGUGUAAACACAACAUCAUAAUAAUAUUAAUUAAGCUAAUAUUUUACUCAUUUGCAUUAAAGAAGACUGUGAUGUCAUCUGAACUCUCUUGCAGCUUCUCUUCUCCCUAAUUAUCACCCUCCAAAUCCAGAUUAUAGUUUAAACCUCCUAAACUGGGGGGAGGAGCCUCAAAUCAUACAGACACCUAGAGAGAGAGAGAGAGAGAGAGAGAGAGAGAGAGAGAGAGAGAGAGAGAGAGAGAGAGGCUUUGGCAAUACAAAAUGUACUUUUGUCAUGCCAAUAAAGCAAAUUAAAUGUAAUUGUAUUGAGAGAAAGAAAGAGAGAGAGAGAGAGAGAGAGAGAGAGAGAGAGAAAGAGAGACACACAGAGAGAGAGAUUUGACCACCCCCAAGUGUGCUUACUUAUGGAUAACUUCAUAGAAUAUGAUUAUCCUCAUAAUGAAGAUCUGGCUGUAGAAAACAUCAAUUACAUAUUUGAUUAUCUGGCAACAAUAUCUAAUCUUAAAACCACUAAGAAAAAUCACAAGCAAACACAAAUGAUUGAAAAAUGGUUUGAUCCGGAUUGUAAAAGAAUAAAGACAAAUUUAAGACAGCUUGCAAAUCAAAAACACAGACAGCCAGACGAUUCAGAUUUACGUCUUCAUUAUUGUGAGGAGCUUAAAAAAUAUAAAAAUACACUCAGAAAGAAGAAAGAACAGUACAUCCAAAAUCAGCUCCAAACUAUUGAAGAAUCAGUCCAUUCAAACAGUUUCUGGGACAACAGAAGACCUGAAGUGAAGCCUUCUGAUCCCCGAACACACUUACAAGAAAACCGUUCUGGGUUAUUCGGAAGCAGCUGUGGCCGAUCACUCAAUCUCACACUGGUGA